AGGCCGUGAUGGGGACACUUGCGUAAUAGCUCCUUGAACCUUUCCCAAGUUUCAUAUAAGGAUUCCCCGUCCUCUUGUGAGUAUGUAUUAAUUUCAGGCAU
rnacentral:snoRNA from 2 species